ACAUGUAGGUUGGGGUACAUCAUAAACAGAUAGUAACAGCAGUGUACAUGUAGGUUGGGUAAAGGAACUAUGAGUACAUCAUAAACAGAUAGUAACAGCAGUGUACAUGUAGGUUGGGGUAAAGGAACUAUGAGUACAUCAUAAACAGAUAGUAACAGCAGUGUACAUGUAGGUUGGGUAAAGGAACUAUGAGUACAUCAUAAACAGAUAGUAACAGCAGUGUACAUGUAGGUUGGGGUAAAGGGACUAUGAGUACAUCAUAAACAGAUAGUAACAGCAGUGUACAUGUAGGUUGGGGUAAAGGAACUAUGAGUACAUCAUAAACAGAUAGUAACAGCAGUGUACAUGUAGGUUGGGGUAAAGGAACUAUGAGUACAUCAUAAACAGAUAGUAACAGCAGUGUACAUGUAGGUUGGGGUAAAGUGACUAUGAGUACAUCAUAAACAGAUAGUAACAGCAGUGUACAUGUAGGUUGGGGUAAAGGAACUAUGAGUACAUCAUAAACAGAUAGUAACAGCAGUGUACAUGUAGGUUGGGGUAAAGGAACUAUGAGUACAUCAUAAACAGAUAGUAACAGCAGUGUACAUGUAGGUUGGGUAAAGGGACUAUGAGUACAUCAUAAACAGAUAGUAACAGCAGUGUACAUGUAGGUUGGGUAAAGGGACUAUGAGUACAUCAUAAACAGAUAGUAACAGCAGUGUACAUGUAGGUUGGGGUAAAGGGACUAUGAGUACAUCAUAAACAGAUAGUAACAGCAGUGUACAUGUAGGUUGGGGUAAAGGGACUAUGAGUACAUCAUAAACAGAUAGUAACAGCAGUGUACAUGUAGGUUGGGGUACAUCAUAAACAGAUAGUAACAGCAGUGUACAUGUAGGUUGGGUAAAGGAACUAUGAGUACAUCAUAAACAGAUAGUAACAGCAGUGUACAUGUAGGUUGGGGUAAAGGAACUAUGAGUACAUCAUAAACAGAUAGUAACAGCAGUGUACAUGUAGGUUGGGGUAAAGGAACUAUGAGUACAUCAUAAACAGAUAGUAACAGCAGUGUACAUGUAGGUUGGGGUAAAGUGACUAUGAGUACAUCAUAAACAGAUAGUAACAGCAGUGUACAUGUAGGUUGGGGUAAAGGAACUAUGAGUACAUCAUAAACAGAUAGUAACAGCAGUGUACAUGUAGGUUGGGUAAAGGGACUAUGAGUACAUCAUAAACAGAUAGUAACAGCAGUGUACAUGUAGGUUGGGUAAAGGGACUAUGAGUACAUCAUAAACAGAUAGUAACAGCAGUGUACAUGUAGGUUGGGUAAAGGAACUAUGAGUACAUCAUAAACAGAUAGUAACAGCAGUGUACAUGUAGGUUGGGGUAAAGGAACUAUGAGUACAUCAUAAACAGAUAGUAACAGCAGUGUACAUGUAGGUUGGGGUACAUCAUAAACAGAUAGUAACAGCAGUGUACAUGUAGGUUGGGUAAAGGAACUAUGAGUACAUCAUAAACAGAUAGUAACAGCAGUGUACAUGUAGGUUGGGUAAAGGAACUAUGAGUACAUCAUAAACAGAUAGUAACAGCAGUGUACAUGUAGGUUGGGUAAAGGAACUAUGAGUACAUCAUAAACAGAUAGUAACAGCAGUGUACAUGUAGGUUGGGGUAAAGGAACUAUGAGUACAUCAUAAACAGAUAGUAACAGCAGUGUACAUGUAGGUUGGGGUAAAGUGACUAUGAGUACAUCAUAAACAGAUAGUAACAGCAGUGUACAUGUAGGUUGGGUAAAGGGACUAUGAGUACAUCAUAAACAGAUAGUAACAGCAGUGUACAUGUAGGUUGGGUAAAGGAACUAUGAGUACAUCAUAAACAGAUAGUAACAGCAGUGUACAUGUAGGUUGGGGUAAAGGAACUAUGAGUACAUCAUAAACAGAUAGUAACAGCAGUGUACAUGUAGGUUGGGUAAAGGGACUAUGAGUACAUCAUAAACAGAUAGUAACAGCAGUGUACAUGUAGGUUGGGUAAAGGAACUAUGAGUACAUCAUAAACAGAUAGUAACAGCAGUGUACAUGUAGGUUGGGUAAAGGGACUAUGAGUACAUCAUAAACAGAUAGUAACAGCAGUGUACAUGUAGGUUGGGUAAAGUGACUAUGAGUACAUCAUAAACAGAUAGUAACAGCAGUGUACAUGUAGGUUGGGGUAAAGGAACUAUGAGUACAUCAUAAACAGAUAGUAACAGCAGUGUACAUGUAGGUUGGGGUAAAGGGACUAUGAGUACAUCAUAAACAGAUAGUAACAGCAGUGUACAUGUAGGUUGGGUAAAGUGACUAUGAGUACAUCAUAAACAGAUAGUAACAGCAGUGUACAUGUAGGUUGGGUAAAGGAACUAUGAGUACAUCAUAAACAGAUAGUAACAGCAGUGUACAUGUAGGUUGGGUAAAGGGACUAUGAGUACAUCAUAAACAGAUAGUAACAGCAGUGUACAUGUAGGUUGGGGUAAAGGAACUAUGAGUACAUCAUAAACAGCUAGUAACAGCAGUGUAAAAACUAAGGAGGGGGGGGGGGGGUCAAUGCAAAUAGUCUGGUGGCCAUUUGAUUAGCUGUUCGAGAGUCUUAUGUCUGGGGGAUAGAAGCUGUCAAGGAGCCUUUUGGUCC